GGCGAACGCUGGCGGCGUGCUUAACACAUGCAAGUCGAACGGAAAGGCCCUGCUUUUGUGGGGUGCUCGAGUGGCGAACGGGUGAGUAACACGUGAGUAACCUGCCCUUGACUUUGGGAUAACUUCAGGAAACUGGGGCUAAUACCGGAUAGGAGCUCCUGCUGCAUGGUGGGGGUUGGAAAGUUUCGGCGGUUGGGGAUGGACUCGCGGCUUAUCAGCUUGUUGGUGGGGUAGUGGCUUACCAAGGCUUUGACGGGUAGCCGGCCUGAGAGGGUGACCGGCCACAUUGGGACUGAGAUACGGCCCAGACUCCUACGGGAGGCAGCAGUGGGGAAUAUUGCACAAUGGGCGGAAGCCUGAUGCAGCAACGUCGCGUGCGGGAUGACGGCCUUCGGGUUGUAAACCGCUUUCGCCCGUGACGAAGCGUGAGUGACGGUAAUGGGUAAAGAAGCACCGGCUAACUACGUG
rnacentral:rRNA from 1 species